rnacentral:rRNA from 1 species
UACGAAGGGUGCAAGCGUUACUCGGAAUUACUGGGCGUAAAGCGUGCGUAGGGGGUGAGUUAAGUCUGUCGUGAAAGCCCCGGGCUCAACCUGGGAAUGGCGAUGGAUACUGGCUCGCUAGAGUGCGGUAGAGGAGAGUGGAAUUCCCGGUGUAGCAGUGAAAUGCGUAGAGAUCGGGAGGAACAUCAGUUGCGAAGGCGGCUCGCUGGGCCGUUCCUGACGCUGAGACGCGAAAGCUAGGGGAGCGAACAGG